CUCGAAGUACUCGCUGCACGCUGCCAGCACCGCCUUGUGCGCGGGGAAGCUCUCCUCGCCGACGCGCAGGAUCACGUCGCAGAACCUGCCUCCAUCUUUCCUCUGGACGUCGAGGUUGUGUAGCAUCUCCGCGCUGUGCUUGCUCACCUGACCCCUCCCCCAACAUAGCGUCGACAUCAAAGCCUUUUUCCGCUCGGCAAUCGACAUGUUGCCCUGAGUAGCAUCGUGGUACUCGCUCGGCUCCAGGUGACGCUGAUUUGACGUCACGAAUCUACAGUGACCUGUCAGUUUAAAGCAAUAAUCAUUUUAGCGAACAAAAAUAAAAUUCACGGUCACUGGCGACACAUUUCAAUAAUUGUUAAGCUGUGGUUUCAUCCCGUUUAAGGUAGAUAAAGACCAUUGCAUACGAUGACACGGCAAGCAAAAUCAGUAUAUGUUAGGCACACUAGACGAAUAACUUGUCUGCUGUUGCUUCAUUUUUAAAACGUUGACCAGUCUUUUUGUUUUAUGGUCGACAAUAAUCGAUUGUCUCACAUUUAAGGUAAACCCAGUGCAUAUUUCCUUGGUCCAUUAACCAGGAACCACAUAACUAUUCUGAAGAUUGUUCACAGAUUUGUGAUAUCAAGUGAUGUUUCGCUUUUUCUAUGGAGAGGAAAACACUCAUAAAAAAUAUUUGGGCUAUCAAUUUAAUAUUUUCAGAAGUUGAAGUGGGCAUGAGGUUAGAUGCAUACAAACAUUUGGUGAUGAUCGUUUUUGGAGAUGAAGUGUUUUUUACAUUAAGCAUUGUUGAUUGUUCCACAGUAUUAACCUAACGAGCAUCAACAUUUUGCCGCAAUCCAGCCCACUAGCAGCUUUUAAGAUGCAAUCACUGAAGAAUAAUAUAAUUUAGCCCCUGACAAAAGUCAAAUUGUAUUUUGACUUUGCGGUGCCGUCACAAUUGUUACACCCGAUUUGACGAAAUUAAUUACCACCGAAACAAAACUACAAAUGUGAUACAGUUCUUAAUUUGGGCAAUACAUCCAACUUUUACGAUAAAUACACGGCUAGGGUGGUGCUAUUUCGCCUUCUUGCAUGAAUUGAUGAAGUCUUCUCAUGCGAGAGGCGAAAUGUCCCAGAUCCGGUCAUGUUGGGAUAGUACAGUUGCAAUAGUUUUAAUUUCCUGACAAUACAAUGAUCCGGAUCCAAGAAUUUCACAUUCAAGCCAAUUCCGUUUACAAAAUUAGUGACAUUUCACCUAAACAUACAGUAUCUGGCCGAUUUUAACCAUUUAAGCGACUGACAUACAGAAAGAUGUUUAAAAUGCCAGACAACUCAUACUUAUUUGUAAAUUGAACUGACAAUUCGUGGGACAAAAAGUAAACCAUACAAAAACACUUAAACAUUCAAUACCGUUUGUCACAAUUUUUAUUCAUUCUAUCUGUGCUUUAUAACUUAAUAGCACAAAAAACUGAAUCCAGACACCUCCAGGAAUGUCAAGACUGCCUCCUCUUGUGGCAGUUUGGAGAGUAUAGGAUACAGU